CGAAGGGGGCUAGCGUUGCUCGGAAUUACUGGGCGUAAAGGGCGCGUAGGCGGAUAGUUUAGUCAGAGGUAAAAGCCCAGGGCUCAACCUUGGAACUGCCUUUGAUACUGGCUAUCUUGAGUUCGGGAGAGGUGAGUGGAAUGCCGAGUGUAGAGGUGAAAUUCGUAGAUAUUCGGCGGAACACCAGUGGCGAAGGCGACUCACUGGCCCGAUACUGACGCUGAGGCGCGAAAGCGUGGGGAGCAAACAGGAUUAGAUACCCUGGUAGUCCACGCUGUAAACGAUGAGUGCUAGUUGUCGGCAUGCAUGCAUGUCGGCGACGCAGCUAACGCAUUAAGCACUCCGCCUGGGGAGUACGGUCGCAAGAUUA
rnacentral:rRNA from 1 species